GAUGAACGCUGGCGGCGUGCCUAAUACAUGCAAGUCGAGCGAACGGACGAGAAGCUUGCUUCUCUGAUGUUAGCGGCGGACGGGUGAGUAACACGUGGAUAACCUACCUAUAAGACUGGGAUAACUUCGGGAAACCGUAGCUAAUACCGGAUAAUAUUUUGAACCGCAUGGUUCAAAAGUGAAAGACGGUCUUGCUGUCACUUAUAGAUGGAUCCGCGCUGCAUUAGCUAGUUGGUAAGGUAACGGCUUACCAAGGCAACGAUGCAUAGCCGACCUGAGAGGGGGAUCGGCCACACUGGAACUGAGACACGGUCCAUACUCCUACGGGAGGCAGCAGUAGGGAAUCGUCCGCAAUGGGCGAAAGCCUGACGGAGCAACGCCGCGUGAGUGAUGAAGGUCUUCGGAUCGUAAACCUCUGUUAUUAGGGAAGAACAUAUGUGUAAGUAACUGUGCACAUCUUGACGGUACCUAAUCAGAAAGCCACGGCUAACUACGUG
rnacentral:rRNA from 1 species